UGCGAGUUAGAGCAGAGGCUGUGCUCGUUGGCCCCAUAACCCAAAGGUCGGAGGUUCGAAUCCUUCACUCGCAA
rnacentral:tRNA from 1 species